GUUUGAUCAUGGCUCAGAUUGAACGCUGGCGGAAUGCUUUACACAUGCAAGUCGAACGGCAGCACGGGAGCUUGCUCCUGGUGGCGAGUGGCGAACGGGUGAGUAACAUAUCGGAACAUGUCCGGAAGGGGGGGAUAACGUACCGAAAGGUACGCUAAUACCGCAUAUGCCCUGAGGGGGAAGGGGGGGGAUCGAAAGACCUCUCGCUUUCGGAGUGACCGAUAUCGGAUUAGCUAGAUGGGGAGGUAAAGGCUCACCAUGGCAACCAUCCGUAGCUGGACUGAAAGGACGACCACCCACACUGGAACUGAGACACGGUCCACACUCCUACGGGAGGCAGGAGUGGGGAAUUUUGGACAAUGAGGGAAACCCUGAUCCAUCCAUACCGCGUGAGUGAAGAAGGCCUUCGGGUUGUAAAGCUCUUUCGGACAGAAAGAAAUCGUGCAAAUUAAUACUCUGUAUGGAUGACGGGACUGAAAAAAGAAGCACCGGCUAACUACCUGCCACCACCCGCGGUAAUACGUAGGGAGCGAGCGUUAAUCUUAAUUACUGGGCGUAAAGCGUGCGCAGGCGGUUUUGAAAGACAGGAGUGAAAUCCCCUGGCUUAACCUGGGAACUGCAUUUGUGACUGCAAGGCUAGAGUGUAACAGAGGGAGAUAGAAUUCCACGUGUAGCAAUGAAAUGCAUAUAGAUGUGAAGGAAUAUCGAUGGCGAAGGCACCCCCCCCAGGGUUAACACUGACGCUCAUGCACGAAAGCGUGGGGAGCAAACAGGAUUAGAUACCCUGGCAAUCCACGCCCUAAACUAUGUCAACUAUGUGUUAGGGGAGAGAGACUUCUUUAGUACCGCAGCUAACGCGCUAAAUUGACCGCCUGGGG
rnacentral:rRNA from 1 species